UACAGGGGGGGCAAGCGUUGUCCGGAAUUACUGGGCGUACAGCGCGCGCAGGCGGUCCACUACGUGCCGUGUGACAAACGUCGGCUUAACCGACGGAGGCCAGGGUACACGGGUGAACUUGAGGCAGAGAGAGGGAUGUGGAAUACCCGGUGGAGCGGUGAAAUGCGUAGAGAUCGGGUGGAACACCAGGGGCGAAGGCGGCAUCCUGGCUCUGUUCUGACGCUGAGGCGCGAGAGCGUGGGGAGCGAACAGG
rnacentral:rRNA from 1 species